AUGCCUCUCUGUUGCCAUGUGGGUCGAGUGACCCCCACCCUGACGGUGCUGCCCCCCUCCAGUGAGGAGCUGCAGCAGGAGAAGGUCACAGUCCUGUGCCUGGCCAACAAGGGCUUCCCCUCAGACUGGAGUCUGGCCUGGAAGGUGGAGGGCAGCAGCAGCAGCAGCAGCUGGGAGGAGAGCAGGAGCCCCGGGGUGCUGGAGAAGGACGGCCUCUACAGCUGGAGCAGCACCCUGAGGCUCCCUGCGGACCAGUGGAGCAAGCUGGGCUCUGUGACCUGUGAGGCCACCCAGGGCUCCCAGACUCCGCUCUCAGAGACACUGAGGAGAGACCAGUGUUCCCAGUCCUGACCUGACUCACUGGGACUCUGCUACUGGUUUUACUCUGCUCCUGCUCUCUCUCUGCUCUCUGUAACACUGUCUCUCUCUCUUUCUCAUUUUCUGUCUUUCUCUCUGACAUGUUUGCUAGUUUUCUCUAAUGUUUGUAAUUCCAUCAUUUACAGAAAAUAAAGAUCUGUUCAUCAAAUAAAUUCUGACUCCAUUUUCUACUUUUUUUAACAUCAACAACUGAUCAAUAAAUUUUGUCAGUGUAAUGAAACACAAUGUGAUUGAUUCCUCCCCCUGGUUAAACUUGGUCA